rnacentral:rRNA from 1 species
GGAGUUAGCCGGUGCUUCUUCUGCGAGUAACGUCACAGAUGUAAGGUAUUAACUUACACCCUUUCCUCCUCGCUGAAAGUGCUUUACAACCCGAAGGCCUUCUUCACACACGCGGCAUGGCUGCAUCAGGGUUUCCCCCAUUGUGCAAUAUUCCCCACUGCUGCCUCCCGUAGGAGUCUGGGCCGUGUCUCAGUCCCAGUGUGGCUGAUCAUCCUCUCAGACCAGCUAGGGAUCGUCGCCUAGGUGAGCCUUUACCUCACCUACUAGCUAAUCCCACCUGGGCUUAUCCAUCAGCGCAAGGCCCGAAGGUCCCCUGCUUUCCCCCGUAGGGCGUAUGCGGUAUUAGCAGUCGUUUCCAACUGUUAUCCCCCACAAAUGGGCAAAUUCCCAGGCAUUACUCACCCGUCCGCCGCUCGUCAUCUUCAAAAGCAAGCUUUUGAAAUGUUACCGCUCGACUUGCAUGUGUUAGGCCUGCCGCCAGCGUUCAAUCUGAGCCAGUANACAACUACUNACNGAGCGGCGUGCGACGCGC